rnacentral:tRNA from 1 species
GGGGGCAUAGUAUAGUGGUAAUACACGGCAUUCGCAUUGCCGAAACUCGAGUUCGAUUCUCGAUGCCUCCA